UUAACUGUUUAGAAGCUUGUACUCAGAGUGCCGCUGUAAAAAUAAGAGCUUGGUGGUCUUCUGGCGAGCGCCCGCGAGGUUGGCGGGGCGACCGGGGCCCCAGAGGGGCCGGCCCGCCGAAGCAACAGGAGGUUUGGUUCACAGGGGUUGAGGGAGUCUAGGACUCUCUGUAAUGAUCCCUCCGCUGGUUCACCAACGGAGA
rnacentral:misc_RNA from 1 species